rnacentral:rRNA from 1 species
CCCUUAGAUGUUCUGGGCCGCACGCGUGCUGCACUGAGUGGAUCAGCGGGUCAGGUUGCGCGAAAGCGUUUCCUAAUCUUGAAAUCCGCUCGUGAUGGGGAUUGACGGUUGCAAUUUUCCGUCAUGAACGAGGAAUACCUUGUAAGCGCGGGUCAUCAUCCCGCGCUGAAUACGUCCCUGCCCUUUGUACACACCGCCCGUCGCUCCUACCGAUUGAGUGGUCCGGUGAGGCUUUGGGAUCUGAGCGGAAAGAGCGUUUCGCUGUUUCUGCUCGGAAAACUCAGUCGAACCUUAUCAUUUAGAGGAAGGAGAAGUCGUAACA